CGAACGCUGGCGGCGUGCUUAGCACAUGCAAGUCGAACGGAAAGGCCCUGCUUUUGUGGGGUGCUCGAGUGGCGAACGGGUGAGUAACACGUGAGUAACCUGCCCUUGACUUUGGGAUAACUUCAGGAAACUGGGGCUAAUACCGGAUAGGAGCUCCUGCUGCAUGGUGGGGGUUGGAAAGUUUCGGCGGUUGGGGAUGGACUCGCGGCUUAUCAGCUUGUUGGUGGGGUAGUGGCUUACCAAGGCUUUGACGGGUAGCCGGCCUGAGAGGGUGACCGGCCACAUUGGGACUGAGAUACGGCCCAGACUCCUACGGGAGGCAGCAGUGGGGAAUAUUGCACAAUGGGCGGAAGCCUGAUGCAGCAACGCCGCGUGCGGGAUGACGGCCUUCGGGUUGUAAACCGCUUUCGCCUGUGACGAAGCGUGAGUGACGGUAAUGGGUAAAGAAGCACCGGCUAACUACGUG
rnacentral:rRNA from 1 species